CACACAGGGUUUUUCUCCAUUUGGAGCCCACCCCCCACUUCCCAUACAGGGGGAGACUUUCUUCUUCUUUCUUGCCCAUUAAACUUUCUGCUCCUUAAAAACCACUCCAUGUGUGUCCAUGUUGUUUAUCUAACUGGCACAAGACAAAGGACCCUGGUGUUUCUCCAUUCAUUGGAGCCAUAUCAUUUUGGUGCAUUGGCCGGAAAUCCAAGGUACAACAUUCAUUGGAGUGGUUUCCAAUAGCUUUGAAGAUUAUAACAUUGGAAUAGAGAAAUACAUACAGGACUCACAAAGAACUGGCAUGUUCAUGAAUAUCAAGCAAAACAAGAGUUAACUGAAUGGACUGCACUCAGAAAGUUAGAGCAACCUUCUGGACUUUUGCUUAAAACAUUGGUGAUCCUUGUUUUGUUUUUCAAAGUUGAGGAAACUUAUUUUGAACUAUUUAUGGCCUUUAAUAAUUAAGUAAGGUAUACUCCUGCAAACAAAAUUUGGAGCAUGUUUGUUUCUCUCUGCCUGGUUCCUCUAGAAUUUGGAAACUAUCUGUAAGUACUCUUAACCUAUGACAAUAUAGUUGUUUGCAUCAGUGCAAUAAGAAUCCAUUUUUCUUUUUCAAGAGGACACAAUUGGAAAAACUGGUUAUUUUACCAAGGCUUUGAUGGAAUGGGUGUGUUUCCCUUUAAGGAAUUAAAGCCUGACAGGCAGAGCCAGUAAAAGCCCUUUGGGGGGAGAACUGGCCUCAUAACUGAUCUACACAGUCCCUGCAAAGGGUUCCUAACUUGUGGUCAGUAAAGAAUGUCACUUUCUAACAGGUCCAGGAGCUCAAAGUUUAUCUUAGGACCUCAAGAGAAAAGGAUCACCCAACUCACAGGUAUUUGAGGGUACAAACCCAUGGCUGGACUCAGCUUUAACAGGUCUUAUCUGAGAUUCCUUGUGGAACAGAGUUCCAUCAAAGCCAACCCAAAAGGCCUAUGUAGAAAUAAUUAUUCUUGCUGUGCUUUAUGAAAAUAAUCAGGCCAAGUAUAAGACUAAAGUUUAUUCUACAAACAACAUGGUCCU
rnacentral:lncRNA from 10 species